rnacentral:lncRNA from 1 species
AUUUGACAACCAGAUGCCCCGCAGGGCACAGCUUUAUACGACCGCAGAGUUCGAACCCUGAACAGUUGGGUCAAGUAUGGACACAACAUUCAAGCUUGAUACAGCUCUGAAUUUGGAUUGUGAUUGAAUAGUUGACACAACAUAGGUUUCUGACACAAUGAAUGUGGUCUAAGAACUUAAACUUAAAAAUUUUAAAUUGGACAUUUACCUAUUAUGGUCCAAUAUCCAAAAUCUUAAUACAUGGUUGGAUUCAGCAUAUCAAAGACCCAAGAAUUCAAUUUUUGAUGAAAUCAAAUAAAGUUCAAUUUUGGACCCUUUAAACCUCAAUGUGGACCAAUUUGAUAACCGGGCCCAAAUAUCAAAAAUCUAAAUACAUGGUUAGAUUCAGCAUAUAUCAAAGAACCCCAUAUAUUCAAUUUUUGUUGAAAUCAAACAAAGUUUAAUUUUGGAUCCCGAUUUUGACCAACUUGAAAACUGGGCCUAUAAUCAACCAGAUGAUCCGCAGGGCACAGCUUUAUACGACUGCAGAGGUCGAACCCUGAAUGGUUGGGGCUAGAAUGGACACAACAUUCAAACUGGGAUACAGCUCUGAAUUUGGAUUGUGAUUAAAUAGUUGACACAGCAUAGGCUUCUGACACAGAAUGAGUGUGGUCUAAUGAACUUAAAAU